UCACUCCAGUAACUUAUAUUAUCCCAACAUUCACUGCCACAUAGUAUCAUUAUUGCUAUAACUACAACCAUUUAUCCGAUCAAUCCAUCUAGGUUAAAUCAUAUGCACUAGUAUUACAUUACAUUACACCCCCAAUUAGUUGCAGUUUGUAAGAUUAAUCCAAUAAACCUAAAUCAUAUAUAGUAUCAUGAAUAAUGUGAUAUGUCUGAUCCCUAAUUUUCACCACCAAAACAUUACCAACUGAAAUCACCAAAACAAAUAAAGGGGCCAUUGAUUCAAAUCCCUAAUUACAUUUCAACACAAAAAAACAAAAACCCAUUUAAAAAAAACCAUCUUUUAGGGCGUAAAUUGAAUUUAACAUACCUGGGUCUUGAAGGUGGAGGAGUAGAAGGAUUUGGGGCUAUGAUGGGAGAAGAAGAAGGACGCAAAAAAGGGUCUUUGAGGCCAAAAGCAAAAGAGGGGGGUCGGAUAUUAGAUGUGCCGGGUCCUGAAAGCUUAUCAAAUCCGGAAAAGUUCUUGUCCAUAUUUUUCUUGCUUUUACUUCUUCUUCNNNNNNNNNNNNNNNNNNNNNNNNNNNNNNNNNNNNNNNNNNNNNNNNNNNNNNNNNNNNNNNNNNNNNNNNNNNNNNNNNNNNNNNNNNNNNNNNNNNNNNNNNNNNNNNNNNNNNNNNNNUUUUAUAGUUGCAGAGUGGUAUCAAUUUUUUCUUCUUUCAAGAAUCAAUGGAAAUUUGUGAAGUUCGAUUAGGGUUUGGGUUUGGGUUCAGGUGAGGAGAAUCAAUGUAAUUGAAUCGUGACAGAGAAACCGAACAACCCACGAUGAACAAAGUGUACUUGUUUUGUACUUGUGCGAUUGAUAAACCUAUUUAUUCAAAAACAAGAGCCAACAAAACUCUCAGGUAGACAAAAAAAAUAAAAAAUAUUUACACAUUAAUUUAAUUACUGUAAUGAAUUAUAGUCGUCCGAUCAUGAAUUAAAUUAAUGGUUGAGAUUAUUUUGUAUUGAUAUGUAAAUGUAUUAUGAAUUGACUCAUCAAAACUUCACUGGACCGUCUAAUUUAGUUUGGGAGUUAGUUUUAGCAUCAAAUGAUUUCAUUCUUCUUUCGAUCGUAGUUACGUAUGAUCAAAUUGUGGUCUCUUUACCAAGUUCAAAGUCAAUCACCAAUGAACCAACUAAAAUUUGAAUUCUUAUUUAUUAUGGUUAUCACUUACUAGUGGCCCAAUUUUAUGAAAAUAAAAUGUGUUAAAAAAUGUAAAUGAUUUGAUGAAAAUUAAAAAGUAUAAAAAUUACUUUUUGUUUGAGAUAAGAAGUUACUAAAAUAGAAGUUAAAAAAAUGUGGAAGUUAAAGAAGAAAUUAAAAAUAAAAUAAAAAAACUGAUAUGGGUAUUAUGGGAAUUACAAAAAAAUGCUACACCAAAAUUUGAGUAUUCCCUUUAUUAUUAGUAUAGAAGUAUAGAUAAGUCUCAAAGAUGUAAUUUAUGUAAGUGAGGCUAAUACAUUUUAACUUUUACUUAGUAUUUUACACUCGAAUAGUAAUGGUAAAAGAUAUAUAUACUAGAAUAUAUAGUAUGAAAUUAUGACUAUUUUAAAAGUUCAAUGACUGAUAAAUUAUAUACUUAUAUUUUAACCAUUUAUCUAUAUCUAUUCUAUACUAUAUAUAAAGAUGAUACAUAAAUUUUGGUGUUGACUUUUCAUAAUACCAACAAUAUCCUUGAUUUUUUUUAAUAGCAAAAAAAUCUUUUAUUAACAAAUUCACCAUAACACAAGGCAUAGUUUUUUUUAGUAUCAAAUUUUUUUAUUAAUAAACUCGCCAUAACAUAAGUCAUAUAUUUUUCUUGGACUUAAGUUAGACACAGGAAGGCGCGGAAUGCGCGUUGCCUAGCCCGCUAGUUUAUAUAAAUGUGAUUACGUGAUUCAUAUAUUCAAUUAAGGACAAUUUUUUUGAUUUUGUUUUAAAACUCAUCUGAUUCAAAGAUCAACUAAUUUGAGGACAUAAAUUUUAUCGUCCAUUUAAGAGAGCGCUCAUUUAAAGUAAAAAGAAAAUAAAAUCUCUAUAUGAAUUAGUCCACCAGAGAAAGUAACACCGAGAGGACUUUUUUUCUUCAAAUAGUUUAAUGGUUAAAAAUUAUGAGGCCAGUCUGUCAUUGAUUGAUCACAGCCCCUCCUGAUCGCACCAUCGUCCUUCAUACUAAAUUCGACGUCAAUUAUUACUGGACAAACUAACUAUCGAUAUUUUACUUCAUCCGAUCCUUAUUAUAAAAAAAAAAUUAUAUUUUAAAUUCGUAAAAUGUUAAAUGUAUCUGAUCCAUAUCAUAGACAAAAUACAUCAAACAUUCUAUGAAGUCAACCAGACGAUUAAUAAAUAAGUCAAAUACAUUAUCAGCAACAACUUAUUGACAAUUUUUUUUAUAUAUGUUCCUUACCUAAUAUUCUGUCCAAGUUCAUUUUCUCUCGAGAAUUUUCUCUGUGAAACGCUUACAAAUCUUAAUUACCAUGCUUGGAUUUGAUCACUAUAAAGGGCUUUUACAGAUACACACUUGCUUGGUGUGCAUCAUCAAAAUCGAAGUCAAUGGCAUCAACAGGAUCAUCACCUUCACAAAUUCAGAAAAGUGAAGAAGAAUGGAGAGCCAUUCUUUCACCUGAGCAGUUUCGCAUCCUCCGCCAGAAAGGAACUGAGUGAGUAAUAAUCUAUCUAUUUCUUCUUUCAUGUUAUAAUUAUAAUUACUGUGAGAUUCAAUUUGGGACUUAAAAAUUUCAAUUUUUUUUAAUUUGCAUGUUUCUGAGAUGAAAAUGAGAUUUGAUUUGAGCUUUUGGGUAUGUUGGGUAUCCUGUAUGCAUAAAAUCGAAGUGCAAUUUUUUAUUUUUUUUUAAUAUUGUUAUUGACAGUUUUUAGUGAUCAUGGUUUAUAAAUAGGAAAAUAAAUGGUUUUUUAUUGGACGAUUGUGUAAAACUAUUUUACACCGUCGGUGCAUAUCAAUUAAACUCUUAUAAAUAGGAAAAUAAAUGUUCUGUUUUAUUUUUCAUUAAAAAAUAUGUUUAUGUUUAUGCCUUUGAACAUGUUUGGAUUGAUUGACAUUUCUAUAGAAGUUAGAGGAAUCUGGCUUGAUGUUUGUAAGCAUGCAUGAAUAAUAGGGAUUUGGUGCACGAAUUUCGUCACCCGAUUUUGAGUUUCAACUGUGAAGUUUCAAAUUAACAACCAAGAUCGUUUUAAAUUGAUGUUAUCAUUGUAUUGUCCGAAUCGUCUGAUCUUAAAUUAAUGCUCUAGACAGGAGAGUAUAACAAGUUUUAAACUGAGUUGAAUUGUCACUGUGCAGAUUGAAGGGUACUGGAGAGUAUAAUAAGUUUUAUGAAGAAGGGAUUUACAAUUGUGCUGGAUGUGGAACUCCACUCUACAAGUCUUCCACCAAAUUUGAUUCUGGUUGUGGUUGGCCUGCUUUCUUUGAGGGUUUUCCCGGAGCUAUCAACCGCUUCGUAAGUUUGCUAUGCUGCUUGUUAACAAUUUUGGUUUGUAUUAGUAUAAUCGAACUCAGUACCAUGGAAUUUACAAUGCUGGUUUUUAACUAUAAUAACAUAUAGUAGUAUCUUAUAUCUAUAUGUAUAGUUGAAACUUUGGAAUUGUAUUGUGAUGAUAAUGGAACUUAAUUUCUCAUUUUCAGCCUGACCCAGAUGGGAGGAGGACUGAGAUAACUUGUGCAGCAUGUGGUGGACACUUGGGUCAUGUAUUCAAAGGAGAAGGGUUCAAGGUUCCAACUGAUGAACGACAUUGUGUCAAUAGUGUUUCUGUCAAAUUUAUUCCGGGAAAUGCUACUCCUUCCAUAUGAAACAUUACUUUAUAGCAGUGAUAAUAAAUUAGAGGUGUUUAGUGAAAUAAUUUCUUGCUUGUAAGUCUUGUUUGGUGGUUCCAAAACAGUUAUGGUUAUAAGCUUGAACAGUUGAGCACAGUACUUUAACCUGAAAUUAAUAAAUUGGUAGCCUUUAAUUUCUGUUCAAUCUUUUAUGAUGGCUUUCUAUUUGAUGGGGGAAGAAUUGGAUUUGGUAUGAUUGAUAGGUCUGUGCAAAGGUGAGAGUGACAUAUAAAACAUGGCUAUUUUUUUUCUUUCUGCCUGACCUGCAAGUAACCAAAAUCACAUGGAGUCUCUCUAAAGAUGAAAAUUUGUUUUUGAACAUGCAUCUCACCUCUGAAAAUAUUACACGCCAAAUUGAUAACUAGGUUAAUGGGAGGAGUAUUUAUCUCUAUCUGUUUUGUUCAACUCUUUGUAAAUUUGUUAAAAAUCUAUGUGGUUCUUAUAAAUCCAUGGAAUCAUUUAAAAUCCUAUGAAUCCUUACAAAUUAGUUGAACCCAAACUACAAAAUAUUGAUUUGAAAUGUUUUUUAAAAAACCUUGUAUAAAUCAUUUUCUUAAACUGUUCUUUAACACAUUAUGAUCGGCCGCUUACAUAAUUCUUAUUGCAAGCAGUCAUAGUAUUGUAGUUCCAUGUUUACGGGAAUAAAGGGUCAGAACCCAAUCACAAUUCACGAAUUGAUAUUAACCAUCAAAGGUACCAAACCAGCAUCCUCCUCCAUAAAACGAAUGAUACCGGGGAAAUCAUUCAAAACUAAACACUCCACGUCUAAAGACAAGCCAAACUCUGCUAAGUGUAUCAGCUACUUCAUUUGCUCUUUGGCAAUGAAUCUUUGCACAUAAAAAUGAACCCUCAAAUCCUUAUUCCUUAGUAACUAGUAAAGUUUGAGCCUUGUCUAGACAGGAGAGGAUAACAAGUUUUAAACUGAGUUGAAUUGUCACUGUGCAGAUUGAAGGGUACCGGAGAGUAUAACAAGUUUUAUGAAGAAGGGAUUUACAAUUGUGCUGGAUGUGGAACUCCACUUUACAAGUCUUCUACAAAAUUUUAUUCCAGUUGUGGUUGGCCUGCUUUCUUUGAGGGUUUUCCUGGAGCUAUCAAUCGCUAUGUAAGUAUGCUAUGCUGCUUGUUAACAAUUUUGGUUUGUAUUAGUUAUAAUCGAACCCAGUACCGUGGAAUUUACAAUGCUGGUUUUUAACUAUAAUAACAUAUAUCUUAUAUCUAUAUGUAUUUGUAUAUGUAUGUGUAUGUGUAUAGUUGAAACUUUGGAAUUUUUUUGGGUACAUGGACGAAAUCACUAAACCAUUAUGAAUUCACACACAAGUGAGGCAGACGGGGUUCGAACCCCGGUCAUGACGUUCAGACUAACAAUUUCGGCAUAUUUUUGUCGGUUCAACUAGGACUUCGGAACAGUUGAAACUUUGGAAUUGUAAUGCGAUAAUAAUGGAACUUAAUUUCUCAUUUUUCAGCCUGAUCCAGAUGGGAGGAGGACUGAGAUAACUUGUGCAGCAUGUGGUGGCCGGUGGGCACUUGGGUCAUGUAUUCAAAGGAGAAGGAUUCAAUGUUCCAACUGAUGAAACGUCAUUGUGUCAAUAGUGUCUCUGUCAAAUUUAUUCCGAGAAAUGCUACUUCUUCCAUAUGAAACAUUGCUUUAUAGUAGUAAUAAUCAUAAAUUAGAGUUGUUUAGUGGAAAAAAUUUCUUGCUUGUAAGUCUUGUUUGGUGUUUCCAAAACAGUUAUGGUUAUUUUUUUGAAGAAGAAAACAGUUAUGGUUAUAAUAAGCUUGAACAAUCGAGCAAAGUUUAACCUGAAAUUAAUAAAUUGAUAGCCUUUUAUUUUUGAACAAUGUAAAUAAAGCAUUAAAAUUAAUUAGUGUAGAAAAAGUAGAAAUAAGAGAAAUUGAUGAAGGAUUUUGAAUUUUACCAAAGACAUCAGAAAUUAAGAUGAGUGCCAAUUUGGAAUGAGAAGGUCCGGUGAUAUAUGAUUGAAGUCCUCCAAGUUUAAGGACAGUCCCUACUCCAUGGAUAUCUGAGUUCAGGUUAGGUGUAUUCUUUCUCAGGACAAUGAGAACUUGACAUGUCUAAGAUAAAUUAAUGGACAACAAUUAAAUUAAUGGACAAGCUAUAAAUUUAUGAGUGAGGAUUCUUUAAUGUGAAAUUAUGCUAAAACAUUGAUUUGGGAAAAAGCUGAAUUUAUAGGUGAUGAAUGGGCGAUAGUAAGGUUUAGCUCAACUUAGUCUAGCUCGAAUUUAAACGUAACCUCGGCUCGUAAAUUCGUAGAGUUUACUUCAUAUAAAAAUUUAAUAUAACCUAUUUAAUUUUUAACUUAAUAUGAAGUUAAUAAUUUUAUUUUUAAUCUAGAAAUUUAAGUGUUUUAAAUAUUAAUUAAAGAAAAUAUAAUAAUAAUUAAUAUAUUAUUAAUUUUAAAUUCAAAGGUACUUAAUUUUAAAUAUUAGAUAAUGUACACUCAAAUUAUUUUCUCUCAUUCUCGUGAAUUAAAUAUGACUUUUUUAAGUCAUUAGAUUUGAUCUAGUAGUGAGGGGUUUGAGUAGUACACUAUAGGUCUGUAGGUCAUGAGUUCAAUCCCUAACUCAUUGUAAACAAAAACAAAAAUGAAUUUUUUUUUCAUUGAAUUAAAUAUGAUUAUAGUCAUGCAUUUCAAUAAUAAAAUAUUAUUGGUGUUAGUUCCAACAACUAUAUAUACCCACAAGAUAUCUUUUAAAGAAUAAUAUUAAUCUCAUCUUUUUUUUCUUCAUAUGACUCUUUAAAUCAUGCAUGUCAUGUCAAAAUAAAAAUUAUAUUUGAUUCAAAUAUAAAGUGACUGUAUUGUAAAUUUUAACUCAUGUUAUUUUACUUUUAUGAAACCCCUAGAUUUAUGUGUCUAUUAUUUAUUAAAUAACUUUUUUGAUUAAUUAUUAAAUAACUUAUUAUAUUUGAAUACUACCUCCGACCUUAAUUAUAUGUAAAUUUUCACUUUGUAGAUUAAUUAGAUAACUAAUGUAUUUGGCCUUAAUUAUAGAUCAAAUAUAUUAGUUAUUCGAUGAAUCUAAAAAGUUGAUGUAAAAAAGUGGGAGGGAGUAUUAAUAAUAAAUUAGAGUUGUUUAGUGAAAUAAUUUCUUUGCUUGUAAGUCUUGUUUAAUAAAUUGAUAGCCUUUUAUUUUUGUUCAACCUUUUGUGAUGGCUAGUUAUAAAACAUGGUUAUUUUUUUUCUUUUCUUUUUCAGUAAUUUUUUUCUAUCUAACCUGCAAGUAAUCAAAAUCACAUGGAGUCUCUAAAUACGAAAAUAACAUGCAUCUCACGUUGAAAAUAUUACACACCAAAUUGAAUCCUUUUGAUCCUAUCAAGGAGAUAGGAGUAGAGCGGUUUUAUUGUAUACGUCGGGUAGUUUUGUUGUCUUACAUUUGUUUUUUAAGUGGUUUUAGUACUACUUGUACUUUCUCACGAUUGUUCCGUUCAAUACAUUUUCUACUUCGAUCCUUUACUGAUUAAUACUAUAUUUAACCAUUUCAAAAAAUUAUGAAUAAAUUAAAAUUUAUUUACAUUAAAAUUAUGAUUGUGUUGCAUGAAAAUAAACUAUUAUUACUUUGUGCUGAAAAUUAAGUCAAUGGGUUAUUGAAUUAAGAUUUUAAAAGAUUAUUUGACAUAAAGAAAGACAGUAUUUUUUGGUACAAAGAGCCUUCUAGAUUAAUUAAAAUAAUAGCACAAAUAACAAUCAAUGUUAAAUUAUUGAAUUAUUAUUCGUAUAAAUGAAGACUUCCCUAUCUUUAGCGAUUCAAAUUCACACCAAUAGACUAUCAAUUUACAACGCCAUAGACGACGGUCGGUAGUCUAUGGUUGCACUUGAUUUGGAUGAGUUUGAUCUUAUUCGUAUAAAUGAAUUUAAAAAAAAAAAUUGUAAAUGAGAAAUCGAAAUUAUUCAUAUAAAUGAAUUUAAAAAAAAGUUUGUAAAACCCCACUUCUCUUUUCGUGACUAAACUCUAAAGUGGAAGCACCCUCAUGGUACUACAGCUCCCAGAAACUACAAAACGCCAACGUGCAAGGCCACCAAUUGUAACUAUUUUACACAUUUUUUAAAAAAUAAACAAAUCUAUCGUCGCACGCAACUACAAAGAGAGAUUAAUCUCUUGAGACGAUAUAAAUUCAUUUAACACAUUAACCUAUCUCAACAUAUGUUUCUCAAGCAUUGGCCACUUACAUAAUUCUUAUUGCAAGCAGUCAUAGUAUUGACCGAGAGUUGCGGAGAGCUUUCCAAAUAAGAUUGCCCUCUAACAAGAAAUUGGGAAUAAAGGGGCAGAGCCCCAUCACAAUUCAAUAAUUGAUAUUAACCAUCAAAGGUACCAAACCAGCAUCCUUCUCUAUAAAGGGGGUUACAAUAAUAUCAGGAAAAUCAUUAAUUACCAAACACUUGCUCCACAUCUAAAGACAAGCCAAACUUUGCUAAGUGUAUCAUCUACUUCAUUUGCUUUACUUCAUUUGCUUUUCUAGGCAAAAUUUGAUAGAAAGAAAAGAGAGAGGUUGACACACUCUUAAUCCUAGAAAUCAAGACAAAGCAAGCGUGAGUAGGUGGACAACUGUCAUCUAGUAACUUAACAGCACUCUAUGAGAAAUUGUUGUGGCUUCGAGAGGCACCGAAUCUUUGCCCAUAAAUAUGAACCCUCAAAUCUUUAAUAACUUGUAAAGUUUGAACCUCGUAAGACUUCGCCCAUAAAUAUGAACCCUCAAAUCCUUAAUAACUUGUAAAGUUUGAACCUUGUAAGACUGUGAAUUUAUAGAUUUUAGCAUUGUUGAAGAAUCUCACUACUUUUCUAAGAUUCUGGACUCUAAGGUGAGGCUACGAUAGGUGUCUCAGAAUGCUACAUGUAACACUUACAAAUAAAAAUCAUCUACUCUCCACCAUAUAUGGUUUCAUCAAAUAUCCUACUUUAUGCAUUCUAGUGCUCUAUUACUUUUACUGCUAUUACUAACUAAAAUCAUCCUUCUGCUAGCACAUGACAUAAGAGACUGAUUUCACUUGUAUCUUCAUUAGCUAUGAUCAUAUUAAAAGUAAACACAUGUUAAAACUACAUCAAGUCCUGAGGCCAAAUUGCUUAGUGCUUGACAAAUUGUUCACAGAACAACAUUAUCAUCAAAUAGUAAGAAUUGUGCAAUUGAAAUUAUUUAAGUAAAAUCAAGACAACAGAGGUAAUUACUCUAACUUCAAAACUAAUCAUUGGAAUUUCCUAUUGAAAACACUGUUUAUUUUUAGAUCUCUGUACAAACGUUCCAUUCCCCCAAUUUCAAUACCAAUCAGUUUCAAUUGAAUUCUAGCCCAAAAAUAUUCAUGCUGAUGGGUGGACGUGUAUGCGUACAAAAAAUGUUAUACCUUGAACAAUAGCUAGGAACCAAAGUAAAUAACCUAAUGACUAACUAAAAUCUUCAUCGCUUAUUUUUCCUUCUGUUUUCAGAGCAUUCCCUCAGAGCUUGUAUUUCUGCCAAAAGAUCAGCAAUUCAUAUAAGAGUGAUUAAGAGUCUAAUUUUGAUACUUCAACAAGUUUUACACCGUAAACAAAUCACAACCAAUCAUAUGUAUGACUUUAAAAGUAGUUAUGAAAAAAGUCAAUCGUGUUUCAUGAUCUAUAAGUUACAUAUGAUUGAUUAACCGUGUAAAAAAUCUUUUCAAUCCUUAAAAUAAGUAGAGGUAUAAUUGUCAAAAACAGUUAAUGUAAUAUUGAAAUCGUAAACAACUUAUUAGUAGCAACACAUUGUUCUAAGGCUCUGUUUGGGAAGGCCAAUAAGCUAGCUUAUAAGCUAAAAGCUCAGUUUGGUAACAUUUAAAAAAAAAGAGCUUAUAGCUUAGUUUUCAAAUGCUAUUUCAAGUAGCUUAUGAGCUUAUAGCUUAUCAUUUUUUCUUCCAAUUUUAACCCUAUCAUCUUACUUGAAAAAAAUUAAAUAUUAAUUAAACAUAUCUUUUUGAUGUCAUUUCAUAGUUCAACAGCUAGUUCAACAGCUAAUUUUACCAAACACUACAAAUUCAAUCAGCUAGCUUAUCACCAUAAGCUAAAAGCUAGCUUGUAAGCUAUCCGCUAUAUUUUUUUUUUUUUACCAAACAGCGCCUAAGAAACUAGUAAGAGUAACAUCACAAACUCUUAACAUGACUGAAAAUGUGGUAAACAUGUGUAAAUCAUCAAUACUUUCUCAUAAAAUCAACUAAAAAUAUAUAAAUGUUAAGCCCUAAAUCACAGUCUUAAUGUACCUUUCUGGCAUUCUUUCCAAUUCCUGUUACUACGAACAACGCAAUCCUGAGAAUCAAUAGAGAAAAAAUCAUCCAAAAAUCGACGAAUCAAAAAAAUUUAGGGGGUUUAGGGUUAUGGAAAGAUGAAGAAGAAAUGAGGUUUACCUGCAUCAAGAGAUAGAGAGAAGAACACUCAUCGAGCUGUUUGACGUUCUCAUCAUCGUCAUCUGCAUCGCUCCGGUGAAGUGGUUGCGGUGCUGCAACCAACGGUUUCGUUUCGCUCGUGUGAGGUUGUUGCGGUGCCGCCAACGGUUUCACUUCGCUCGUGUGAGGUAGUUGUUGCUCCAUUUUAACGUGUCCGCGAAAUGCUCUUAAAAUUACAAAUUUGAGCAAACCUUAUAUAGUGCUCUCAAAUUCUGGGUUAAGGAACAAAGAAACGGGAUUCUGGUUUGCAGACUCAAAGAGACGGGAUAAUCAAACAAAGAAGAAGAUUAUGAGCAGUGUUUUUUCUAGGGCACUUCUCUGUUUCCAUCGCUCCAAAGCUUAUUAUGUGCUAAUCAUAAAAAAAACAAGGGAAAUAGUCAUUUAAUUCCUCAAUGUGCAACUCGCCGCUGUCAUUCUGAUCACUCAUUGAAGAGAAAAUACAAAAUAGUCCUUGAAUUUGCAAUUUAUUAAUUAUUUUGGUAAUUGGCAGUUAAAUUUACAAAAAAAUUGACGUGACCUUCUUUGGAAACACGUGACAUUCUGAGUAUACAUUAAUUAGAAAAUUGCAUGGCGAGGACCAAAAUAACGGUACUUUUUUUUUUCUUUCUUUGCAUUUCUUUAUCUUCUUCCUCUCAUUCUUUUCUUCAUGGUUGAUAUGAUUACAAUGGUUGAUAUAAGAUUUAAAAACAUAAAGUUUGUAUUUCAAUGGUUGAUAUAAAGAUUUAAGAGCAGAUAUGUGUAUCUCGAUGUUGGAGCUAGAAGCUAAAGAGAAAACAAGUUUGAAUAAUAUAUAGAACAUAGUUAAAGAGAAAACAACCCUAAACAAAUAAGAGCAAGAUCGAAAUCACCUACCCUAUGUCUAUCCACCGUCAGAUUUGCCUAAUAGAUUAUAGAGUAAGGGACUAUUUUGUGCUUUUUCUUCAAUGAGGGACCAUAAUGACAGCAAGUUACACAUUGAGAUAUUAAAAUGACUAUUUUCCUAAAAAUAUAUUGUUCAAUGUUGUUAAUUAAAAGAUUUUAUUGUUUUUUAUUUUAAUUUAAAGACUCAGUUUUAAUCUAAAAAAAAUUCAGUUUUGUUUUUGUUUUAUUUUUUGAGCAAACUGUUCUUGACUGGGAUUAGAAGCUCGGAUACCGAAGGACUACGAGCAACGGCUUUCGAGCAAGCCCUAACACAAGGACGCUCGGCAGCAUAUUCGAUCCACCAACAAUCACAAUGCCAACGCGUAUUGUAACGACCGUUACCGAAAUGAUGAGCAUUAACUGCUCAUCAUGGCUUUCCAGCCGUUUUCCGGCAGCUACUUGAUGGCCAUUAAUGUCAUCAAGGGCCUUAGCCCACCUCUGGGGGCUAUAUAUACGAAACCAAUUGCCAUUUCUUGAGGUACGUAUUAUCUAGCUAAGAAAACCUUACUCAACACCUAAACUGACUUGCGUCGGAGAGCCUUCAGGUACACAACCUCCAUCUGUUUCAACAGGGGCCUUCGAGAACAAACGUCGGUGCGGUCGCACGUUCUGAUCAGGUACGAUCAGUGGCACCGUCUAGUUUUUCCUUCCUAAAAAACCAAAAGCUUCCUUCAUCAACCAACAACAACGCGACCUAUGGCUGACAUCAACAAUAGGUACCAGAACAAAGGGCGGAGAACAACUUUCAUGCACCGUAUCACCCGCUGGAUGGGCAGUUGGCUUUCGUCACAGGAGAAAGCCGAGGUCAGAGAUGAAUUAUGAGGAGUACGUCCCUGAGGACCCACAGAUCCGGGCGGCUGCACAAAGUUUAGUAAAAAAAAAAACGAGUCCAUAAAGUUGACUUCAUAGUUCAUACUUUAAUGAGUCCAUAGAGUAAUAUUUUGUACAAUUUAUUGCUAAGAGACUAUGUGUGCAUAAGAGUUGUACUAGAAAAAACCAAGGACCACAUGUAUAAGAGUCAUGAAGAGAUGAUACAUGGAUGCUAAGAGAUGCGUAAAAGACCCCUCUUGCACUAAAGAUGCUUUUAGAACUUAAGAACCUUCUUUAAAAGACGACUUAAUUUUAAUGGCUUAUUGUAUUUUGAAUAAAAUUACCUUCAAUAAAACGAUAUAUAACAAUAAUAACUAAAAUGAUAUAUUUCUUAUCUAUUUUUUUUGUUGUCAAGAAGUUUUGUGACUAGAAUUUCACCUUUUUAGAAUGAAUAACAGUAUUAGGGUUCGAAACUCGGUCCCUACAUACUAUAUGCAAUGUCCCUAUCAACUAAACUAUGUUCACGGAGACAAAAUUAUUAUUAUUGACAUAUAAUUUUUGACCAAAUAUUGUUGAUAUUUUUUUAAAAGUAUAAUUUAGAAAAUAUGCUUUUCUUUUGACUAAGUAAUUUAUAGAAUAUGUCUUACCAAUUUUUUUUUAUAGAAUAUGUAUUUUUUUUGACAAAUUUAUAGCAUAUGUUAUAUUAUAAAUAUUUGUGAAAUUUUAUUUAAAAAAUAUGAUAGAAAUAAUUUCACACUUUUAUCAUAAUGUUUUUACCAACAUAUAAUAGAUAUAACUAAAAAGACAAGCCUCCGUGGCAUAGCUUAACACGAUUAGAAGUUAGAAUUUUUAUUAUAAUACAUUCACUUUUAUCGUCUUACCGUAUUUCGAAUACAUUAUCUCCGAUAAAUUGUACGUAAGAAUAACUAAAAUAGUAUAUUUCUUAUUUAAUUUCUGUUUCUACGCGACUUUUAUUGUAAUAUACUAUUUGACCAAAUAUUGUUGAAAUUUGUUUCAAAUACUUAAUUUAAAGAAUGUUUCUUUUGACUAAAAUUUAAAUAAUAUGUUUUAUUUUUGUUUUUUUAUGGGAAAAUUUAAAGAAUAUUUUAAACUAUGGAUAUUUGUGAAAUUUCAAUAUGUUAGAAAUAAUUAUUUUUCAUAUAUAUAAUUAAUAAUUUCGCACCUGAUCAUAAUGUCUUUAUCAACGUAUAUUAGAUCUAACUAAAAACGACAAACCUCCAUAACAUAUCUAAACACGGUUAGAACUUAGAACCUUCGCUAAAAGAUGCGUUCAUAUUCAAUAUCUUACCGUAUUUUGAUGACAUUAUCUUCGAUAAACAACUCAUAGCAACAUCCAAAAUAGUAUCUUUUUAUCUAAUUUUUUUAUGAAACUAAAUUAUAUAUUUUUUUGAAUCAAGACAAAAUUAUAAUUAUCAUUCAAUCUUUUUGACCAAAAUAUAAUUGAUAUAUUCUUAAAAAAAUCAUAAUUUUGACUUAAUAUAAUCUUUUAUAUUAACCUAGUUACUAUAGUGGGUAAAAUACAUAAAUUUUUCUUUUGCUCAUAAGGCUAUUAAAGCCUCCCCAAGCUCAACACAUUUUGUCUCAGCACAAAAAAUAAAAUAAAAAGAGGAGAAAAAAAAAACCUAAAAAAUUCAUAGAUUUUUCUUUCUGAAUUCUUCGAUGUUCUAAGAUCGAUUGAUUAUUCAUCAAUUCUCAUCAAUCGGGUGCGUAUCGAUCGAUUCUAAUACUGAUUCUAGCUCUGAAAAUUUUCAUCAUGUAUUGGGGAUCUUCUUGGAAUUGUAAAAUUUUAUUGACAAAAAAAAAAUUUAGAUCGAUUUUCUGAUCUGUGAUUGAGUUCUGAGUUUUGUUAUGUUGUUGAAUUCAAUUGGGUAGUUUCAAUUUUUGAUUUUUUUCAACUGGGUUUGCUCUGUAUAUUGAUAUUGUUACUGGUGCAUGUUUUUGGGCAGUGUUAUUAAUAUUAAUUUUUGAUUGUUUUUAUUUGUUUCAAUGUUUCAGAUAGUUAUUCAUUGUUGAUUGUAAUACUGAGAUUUAGAGGUAAUAAAUUUUCACUUGUUAAAUUGUUAUACAAUGCAUUAUAUUAUAAUCAAGUGUUAGUUAUUAGUUAUUACUUAUGUUGAUUGAUAAUGUUAUUAAUUUUGUUGUGAAUUUACCUCAUUGAUUUUUAUUAUGCCAUUGUGUUUUCAUGCCACUUGGUUUUGGAAUUAGUAAAUUUUGAAUGCUUGUGAAAUGAAGCUGGAUGAAGUGAUGAAUCUUGAUGAGUGUGUUCUUAAGUUAUUAGUUUUCUUAUUUACUAGUGUGUAUGCCGUGCGAUGCACGGAUCAAUUAUGCGAGAGAAAUAGAAAUCACGACUUGUAUUGUUGAUGUAAUAUAUGUAAUUUUCUAAUAUGGAUAAGAAUCUUUGCAAUUUCUUAUGUUAUUAGCUAAGUUUUAUCCGUGCAAAUAUUAUUCCAUUAUUAUGAGACAACUAGUGUGGAUACCGUGCGAUCCACGGAUCAAUUAUAUGAAUGAAAUAGAAAUCGUAACUUGUAUUGUUGACAUAGUUUAUGUAGUUUUCUAAUAUGAUUAAGAAUCUUAGCACUUUAUUAUGUUAUUAGCUAAGUUUUAUUGUGGAAAUAUUAUUCCAUCAUUAUGAUGUGACAACAAUGCAAAACGAAUUUUAGAAUGUAGAAUUUGUAAGGACUAAAACUGCAUUGUAAAAUGAGAGCAAAAUUGUUAAAUUCUUUCAAGCUCUGUAACUAAGGCCUGAAACUAAUCAACUUGUUAUUGUAAUCUAAAUGAGAAGUAUUAUAGCAGCUAUUAACUUCUUUUUUGUUUGCAGCUAAAUGGCAUCACUUGUUGCCAGUGGUAACAGUCAAAUGUCUUCCGUCCAAGAAAAAGGAAGUAGGAAUAAGAGAAAAUUCAGGGCAGAUCCACCUUCAGGGGAGCCAAAUAAGAUUAUAUCUUCACCUCAACAUGAGAGCCUAAGUUAUGAAUUUGCUGCUGAAAAAAUCGAAAUAACCCCAACUUUUGGGCGAGUCACAGCUUCUGACUUGUGCAGUGUUAGCCAUAGCCAUGAUUGUUCUGAUGGCUUGAAGCUUGACCUUGGAUUAUCUAGCCCUGUUGUUUCACCUGAGGUUAGGAUUAGCCAUCCUAAGGAGGAACUAGAGGUGGUUGAAUCCCAUGGUGCUGAUUGGAGUGAUCACACAGAAACUCAGUUGGAAGAACUUGUUUUGAGCAAUUUGCAAACCAUUUUCAAGAGUGCAAUAAAAAAAGUUGUUGCUUGUGGCUACACUGAAGAUGUUGCUACAAAGGCUAUGUUAAGACCUGGCGUCUGUUAUGGAUGCAAAGACACUGUGUCUAAUAUAGUUGAGAACACUUUAGCUUUUCUAAGAAACGGCCAAGAGUUUGAUCCUUCACGGGAGCACUAUUUUGAAAAUUUAGUGCAGCUUCAGAAGUAUAUCUUGGCUGAAUUGGUUUGUGUUCUUCGAGAGGUUAGGCCAUUUUUCAGUGUUGGGGAUGCAAUGUGGUGUUUGUUAAUUUGUGACAUGAAUGUGUCACACGCUUGUGCAAUGGAUGGUGAUCCUUUUAGCAGUUUAUGCAAUGAUGGCAAUGUUGAUGGCUGUUCUUCUGUCCAGACUGAAUCACAAUCAAAAGUUGAAACAAAAAGUCCCGAGUUGAGUCUUCCAAGUCCUUGUAAUACAAUUCCAUCAGUUUCUCAAUCUGAGAAAUCCAUUGUGGCGGAAAAUUCUCAAACUGUCGGUGGACUCUUAGAGAAACAGGGUGCUAAUUCUGCUGACAAGUCAUCUAAUGCUUCUGGAACCUCUCAUUCUCCCUUGCUACAUGAAAAGUGUGGGAGUGUUAGAAAGGUCCAUCCCAGUAGCACCAAGAGGGACUACAUUUUUCGUCAGAAGUCAAUCCAUGUGGAAAAAAAUUAUCGGACAUACGGGUCUAAAGGCUCUUCAAGAGGAGGAAAGCUGAGUGGCUUGAGUGGUUUAAUCUUGGAUAAAAAACUUAAAUCUGUAUCAGAAUCUACCACCAUAAACUUAAAGAGUGCAUCAAUAAACAUAAGCAAGGCGGUGGGAAUUAAUGUCACUCAAGACAAUCUCAACACUGAUUUAUCAUCUAAUGAUGGACCAUCUACCCCUACUUCAUUUAGCCUGAAUUCUAGCGGUGCUAUCUCUCGUGCAUCCGAUCCUUCAUCUUCAGAACAUGAAGAAAAUCCUAUACCUGCAGUCGGUAUCCCCCCAGAUGCAUUACCAGCCACAGAUACCGAUCUUUCUCUUUCACUGUCUUCAAAAAGUAAUUCUACAACACCUAUAUGCUGUGGUCACAAGGUACCUAAUAGUAGCUGUGUGGGAAUACCAUAUGACAAGUCCAUGGGACAAUGGUUGCCCCAAGAUAGAAAGGAUGAGCUGAUUUUAAAGAUGGUUCCAAGGGUUCGGGAGCUNNNNNNNNNNNNNNNNNNNNNNNNNNNNNNNNNNNNNNNNNNNNNAAGGAUGAGCUGAUUUUGAAGAUGGUUCCAAGGGUUCGGGAGCUGCAAAACGAGCUUCAAGAAUGGACAGAGUGGGCAAAUCAAAAGGUGAUGCAGGCUGCUCGUCGGUUGAGUAAGGACAAGGCUGAGCUUAAGACACUAAAACAAGA
rnacentral:lncRNA from 1 species